UUUAUACUCCCUCCGUUCGGAAAUAUUUGUCGAAGAAAUGGAUGUAUGUAGACGUUUUUUAGUUCCAGAUACAUCUAUUUUUAUUAAUUUCUGCAGCAAGUAAUUUCGGAUGAAGAGAGUAUUCU
rfam:Triticum aestivum genome assembly, contig: Triticum_aestivum_CS42_TGACv1_scaffold_095986_2AL